AAAAGUUUUCAAGGUACGCUAUUGUGAAACACUGUAGAGACGUCAAAUUCUGGUCACCCCAGCUGAAGGGUCAGGAAUGAGUAAGCUGUGAGUAUUUAUUCUAGGAUGACUACACGGAGGCCCUCCAGCUUGACUGGGUCUUCAAAGACACCCGGAAUCCCUCAUGCCUUGUGGAGGCCAACAGAAGAGCCAGUGGGCUGCCAUUGGGGGUGGGCUGGGGGCUGCACUACCCUGCAGCAAAGGGCACAAAGGAGGCCAGGGCCGAUGUAUGAGGGUUGGGGGAGAGAGUCUCUAACGUGUAGCAGUCGGGGUGGCAAAGGCACAAGGAGCAAAGUGCGAUGGCAGCGACCACCAGGAACACAACCCAGCACAAGAAGCAGACCAGCACCGACCCUUGUCACAGCAUUCAGAAACACACACCAGCAAUGCCUCAUGGGGACCAGUCCAGGGAGCAGAGGGGCCACUUGGCAGCUGAGGCCAGCAAGGCUCCAUGAACCCACAAGAACCCGCCGUACACCUGCCUCCAGUCCCUGGUGCCAACUCAGAGGCAAGCAGGGCAGGGAUGAUGAUGUUCUAAAGAUGCAGAGGAGAAGCUGAGAGAUUGUUGAAAGUAUUGCAGCGUGCUGGAUCGCUUUUCCUUACAACCCAGUGCAGCGGUGGAAGCAGGGAACCGAGAACCUGACAUGAUCUGAAGUCUCUGUCGAGUUGGAGUUGGCGAGCUCAGCCAGCAUCUUUAAAGAGCGCUUCCACGCACCUUGUCUCAUGGAAUGAAGAAAACGAGGCUUCGCGGUUAAGCAAGUGACGUGUCCUGGUCAGCAUCUUGUGGUCGGUGGUGCCAGGCCUUGACUAUUUUGAGCAGCAAGAAAAUAGUGUCCAUAUGUUCCUGUAAGUAAGAGGAGAUGCCAGAAUCUGUUCCCCUGCUGUCGCAUCAUCCCAGACACCACCCAUGGGAGCUCCAACAACAUUGAAAGCUAAACCGAGCAGCUUUUCAAAUCUCGUCCUAAAAUGGAAAUGGUGCAAUGUCUGGCCGAGGGAUGCUAGGCCAAGGGUGGACUGUCCGGAGCUUGGAAGCAAACAAGAAGAGAGCAAGAGGAGUCCAGACAUUGGAAAGCAGGUCCUAGCAGGUGAGGCUUCAAGGAAUUGGAUGUUGCAUCGUCUCAGGAGAACACGCUGGCGUCUGGAGCUGCCUGUGGCUGGCACCUGAUUCACGGGCUGUUCGGGCUGCAGAGGGAGAUGUUGCUUCUGCCAGGGACUGGAGAGCUGGUGUGACUCACCCUGCCUUUCAUCUGCAGUUGCUGGCUUGGCAGGAAUGAUUUUCAUUGCACCAUAACUCCGUCCGACCCCGUCCAUUUGGGGUGAUACAUUGACCGAAAUUACUCCUUAAGGAAAAAGAGCUAAUAUCGGCUUCCAGUCAAAGGUUUGACUCUUUGAGUCAUGGCUUCCUGGCUUUCCCCAUCAAGAACUGGAAGUCUCAGCGCACAGACAGGAAGUGAGCCGUGGGGAAGAACUGACCGCCAGCCUCUUCAUACCUCGCUGGCCAUGGGGCAGGGGCUGACCCGAGCAGGGGCUCCUCUCCAGAGACCCGCCAUAGCAGAGCAACAGGGCAAGAACCAGUGGAGGGACAGAAGCCCAGGACUGUCAGACCAAUGGGCCAGCAGAGAUGCACAAGGUGGGGGAUGGACCCAACUGUCUGCAGACACGAGAGGCAGGAACCCGCAGUGGGGGAGGGGUGUCCACGAGGUCCCCUACAGUGGGCCCGGUGGUUGCUGGCUGGUUUUCCUUAGAUAUCAGGGCAUGAAGCAGGAGUGGUACAUCCAAGUACAAUGUGUCAAGGAUGGGCAGGCAGCCAUGGGGUCACCAGGAUGGGAAUGGCCGGAAUGAAUGACUGGCGAUGCAUGGAUGUGUCUUCCCCCUGAGGAAUUCUGCGCUCAUCUUCCUGGCUUAAUUUCAUGCUACCUCAAAGGGGACCAGGGUGAUGGCACAGAGACCCCGCAGGCUCCCACCCAGCCCAGGUUCUUUGCUGAGCACGAACUCUCCAUACUCAUGGGAACAUUAAUUCACCCGUCUGUCCACCCUUCAUGCAGUAAAUGCUCGGGGUGCCACUAGACCUGAGGAUGGGUCUAGAUGCCGAGGGUACGAUUGUGGGCAGACCUGGGUCCUGAGCUCAGACCAGCUGGUUGUCCAAGAGAAGAACCCCCCAGCCUCCCUGCCCUCAUCAUACUCAAGCCCAUCUCAGCUGAUUUUCACACCCAAAUCCCCUGCCACCUCUCCCCACAUCUGAAGCCACCAAUCAAAAGGGGUGGCUUUGUGAGAUAGACAAGGCACAGACCCCACCUCCAAGGCCCUCUCAAACAGGAAAACCAAGGCAUGGCCGUGGCUCAGAAGACCAGCUCUCAUCCCUCCAUGACCACCAAGACCCCAUGGACUCGGGGAAGUCAUUUAACCUCCAUGAGCCCCUAGCAUGGUGAUAAAACUCAUUUUCUGGAGUUAUUCUGGGGCUCCAAUGGAAGUGAAUAUACCGUGUUUAUAAGGUUUUACAUUUUUAAGGUAAUUUCUAGAGAAACUCAAGCAGAAUGGCAAAGGAAGGACACAGCAGUUCCCAAGACUACCAGGCAUCCCAGGGUGGGAUGUGGACCUUCUGUGGUGUCCCAGGGCGGCAGGGAGCCACCAGGCCCCACAGGAAGGCGUCUCAAUUCUCUUUCAGCCUGAGAGAUGGGAGCUGGGGACACCAAGUCUGACUCUACUGGGGCCAAAGUAAGGCCACUGAGAUGGGCCACUUUGCAGCCCUGGGGUGGUGGGGGGGUGGGGCGGGCUAUGCAGCAUGGUUCUACCCCCGUCCCCUCCCGCCAUCUCUCCCUAUGUCCCAGCACCACUUCGCAGCAUCUGGGAGCCGCGACAGACCCUCCCACUCCGCGGGGGUCUCCCCCUCGGCGUCUCCAGGCUGGAGGAAGAUGCUGCUUUCCCCGUGGGCUCACGCAUCGCUCCCUUCAACGGCAUCGCCUGCGCCUGGGGCGGCUUCCCACCACAUUCUUGGCAGGCCGAGCCUGUCUCCAUCCUGCCUCGCUGUACAUGUGGGCCCCAUUUGCAGGGGGCGCAGCGCUGGGGUAGGGAAAUCCAGAGGGGUGGCUGUUGAGACUUGGCUUAAACAUUUCCACCUGAGAAUGUGGAGGGAGUACCCCCCAAAGUGAUGAAAGGGACCAGAGAGGGCGACGCUGCGCACGCCAAGACAAAGGAGCACAGAGGGGCCCCUGGGGUAGGAAGCAGGAGGGGUCCCCUGGAGGCAGAAGCAUGGUCCUGAGCCCAGAGACUCCCCCCCACCCAAUAAGAGGCUGGCAGCGGGGACCGCGGGUAACAGCAGUGCCCAGGCACCAGCUGCACCCCUCCAUUGCAGGCGCACGGCUGGCUGCUCUCCAUUCUCUGCCACUCAGCGUUCAUGGAUACGAGCGAGGCCGGCCCCAGGGAGGCUGCCAGGCCCCUAUACCCUCCAGUUCCCAUCACAGCCACCUCAGUUGCAGCACCUCAGUUGCUGUGUUGGACGGGGCAUCGGCAGGCUCUGCGUUGGGUGUGGAGCCCUGCCCAGGAUGCGCCAGGGACCAGCCAGUCCGAGCGCCACUUCCCAGAUUAAGGAGCUGAAAUGCACAGAGGGCAGGCGGACCGCCCCACAUCGGGUGGGUGACGGGUAGGUGCCGACUAGCUCAAGUCAGUGAGCGUCCACUGCCACUAGCAGCUCGGCCUUUCCAAGCACAUAAGGCUCAGCGAGGGCUCUUGACAGACCAGAGCCUUCUGCCCCAUUGCUAACGUUUGAAAACAAAAUGAACAAAGCCUCAGGAAGGGGCCAAAUCCUCCCCGUUCGGGCCACGCCCAGCACCCAUGGUCAGGCCUCUCUACACUGAGGCCACCGUCUCCAAAACCAAAUGGUCCUCCGGCAGCUGCAGGACUCCCAGGCACAGCCACAGGCGGCAGCCGCUCCGACCCUCAGGCGCCGUCCUCUAGGCCAGUUACUGCGUUCCCUGUUUCUUGCCAGACAAAUGGACCCAUUAACCUUCUCCAUCAUUCCUCCUCCUCCUCCCUACCAGUUCCACAAAAACUGUUAUCUUUCAAUGCCGUCUGGUUCAGAAGUUUGGAGGCAUACCAGUACAGAAAGACUGCAGGGCACUUCGGCGUCUGGGCCAUUGUUGAAGCUAAAAACCAAACAACGGAUUCACACUUCACCACGCAGAAUCUGAAGAUUCAGGAGAGGGGACACCGUGGGGCCUGACCACCCAGUCCCUGGUCCACACAGGCACCACAGCCUCUCCUGUGACCUCCACCUGCACAUUUUAUGUGGUCAUGGGGCCUGCGCCCCCUGCUGAGGGUGGGAGAUGGAACCCCUGGUACGGACAGUGACCACAGAGUGCCCGCAUAGGAUGAUGGCACGGGGGGCCGUUUUUAAAGGUUUUCUCAGUGGCUGUGCAAGGAAUGGACCGGGCUGGAGCAAGAAGGUGAUGCAGAGACCAGUGGGAAAAUAACCACACGACACCUUAUCUAGCGCUCAUGUCCAGGAACCGUCCUGCGUGCUUUCAAGUACAAUUCAUGACAUGUCCAUCACCCCCAGGGAGAGGGUACUAGUACCAACCCCAGUUUACGACACGGAAUUUGAGGCCCGGAGAAGAUAGCCACCGAGGUCUGAGAAUGAUCCAGAAGAGGAACAAGGAAGACCUGGAAAGGGCAGUGGUGGAGGGGCAGAGAAGAGGGGUAAGAUCCAAGAAAUGUCUACGACCAGUGAGGGCUGGGAAGCUGGGUGGGCUCUGGGAAGACUCCUGGGCUUCUGGUUGGGGUCCCAGGAGGGUAUUUAAAGGAGAGAUGAGGACAUCUUUUGGGGGCUGGACGAUCGGGGACAUCUGCAGGGCAUCCGGGGGAGCUGUCCUGUGGAGGACUGGACUUGUGGGUCUAAGGCUCAAGGGACCCAGGGGUCACAGACAUGCAGGGGACCCCACAGGGAGAGUGUAGGGUGAAGCCGUGGGAGAUCCCACAUGGCUGGACUCUCCUCUAGGGGACCCCACCAGGCCUUGGAACUGACCCUCAAAUUCCCAUUUCCAGGCUGAGAGGGAGAGGUCUGGGGAGAGUUCACGACUCAGAGCUCAGAGCGCGAGGGGAGGACAUUCUCCGUGGACAGCCCUGUCAUGGACUUGGGCGGGUCUGUCCACAGCGGGGUCCAGCAGCCCGCUGCGGGAAUCCACACGCGGAUCCAGCCUCGGGGGCCUUCGGAUUCUGAUCAAGUCAGAGGCGCAGGGAAGAGAACUCUUGGCGAGAGGAGAUCCAUCUCAGAAGGAGCCCUCAGAGAGGGGCCAAGGCAGGACAGGGGGCGUCUGGGGGAGCCCUAAAAACCUUGAAGUGUUUCAGAAUGGAAGGAGCCUCCCACACUCCCAAUAAGUGGUUUUCCCUUUUCAAAAGAAAGGGAAAAAACAGAAGAACAUUUACCAAGGGAAAAGCACUAUUUAACCUCCAGGCAAAUUCUAGAGAAAGAAGGCGGGGUAGGUGGGAGGGCAGGCGCAAUUCCCGGGCCCACAGGGCCGCGCCAGCUUGAGAAGGUGCCGAGCCCCUUGGCGUGGGGCCCGCCUGCUGACUGGAGCUUUGAAAAACAACUUCCUGUCAAUAAAUGUGAACAAAAGUUUGGAC
ensembl:lncRNA